rnacentral:rRNA from 1 species
UACGUAGGGUGCAAGCGUUGUCCGGAAUUAUUGGGCGUAAAGAGCUCGUAGGCGGCUUGUCACGUCGACUGUGAAAACCCGAGGCUCAACCUCGGGCCUGCAGUCGAUACGGGCAGGCUAGAGUUCGGUAGGGGAGACUGGAAUUCCUGGUGUAGCGGUGAAAUGCGCAGAUAUCAGGAAGAACACCUAUGGCGAAGGCAGCUCUCUGGGACGGUACUGACGCUGAGACGCGAAAGCGUGGGGAGCGAACAGG